rnacentral:rRNA from 1 species
ACUCAAAGGAAUAGACGGGGGCCCGCACAAGCGGCGGAGCAUGUGGCUUAAUUCGACGCAACGCGAAGAACCUUACCAAGGCUUGACAUGCAUCGGAAGCAUCCAGAGAUGGGUGUGCUCUUUGAGUCGGUGUACAGGUGGUGCAUGGCUGUCGUCAGCUCGUGUCGUGAGAUGUUGGGUUAAGUCCCGCAACGAGCGCAACCCUUGUCCUGUGUUGCCAGCGGAGCCUUCGGGCUGCCGGGGACUCACGGGAGACUGCCGGGGUCAACUCGGAGGAAGGUGGGGACGACGUCAAGUCAUCAUGCCCCUUAUGUCUUGGGCUGCACACGUGCUACAAUGGCCGGUACAAUGAGCUGCGAUGCCGUGAGGUGGAGCGAAUCUCAAAAAGCCGGUCUCAGUUCGGAUUGGGGUCUGCAACUCGACCCCAUGAAGUCGGAGUCGCUAGUAAUCGCAGAUCAGCAUUGCUGCGGUGAAUACGUUCCCGGGCCUUGUACACACCGCCCGU